CCUGAAAUCUGUCACAUAAAAUUUUGAUGUUUUGUUUUGCUGUAUACACAGCACUUUAAACUAUAAAAUGUUCUCAAGCUGGUAAACAUACAGUACAUACAGUGGCUUUUUAAGUCAGCGAGCUAUAUUGAUUUACUUACAUUCAGUUUAGACUAUUGGAGAUCACAAGAACAUCAGUUUAUGCAUUUGUAUCAGCCCCUCGAAGUAUACAGCAUCUGGUGACACCUGCCAGAGACAUCACUGCACUGUGAUUGGGUGUUAAAAAACACUAGCUUCAUUUGUCUGUAUGUAGGCUGUUAUGGUAGUUCUGCAAAGCUCAGGAGGAAUUCAUCAUUCUAAACAAUGGCUUUCUGUUUGCUACUAGUUUUAAUGGCAUUCAUUGGUGCGAGUAUACAAGACAGCAUUGCCCCAACAUCUCCUGUAGUCUAUGGAAAUGUCAAUGAAAAAGUGACGAUCUCUUGUAAAUACGACUACACUGUGUCAAUGAAUAAUCUACAGUGGUAUCGACAUUAUCUCGACUCUAUGCCGGAAUUUCUUGUUCUAAUCAUGGAGUCGGGACAAAAUCAAACGGCUACACCUCCUCAUCCUCGGCUGACAGCUUCAGUUAAUAAAGAUAACAAAAUGGUGAAUCUGGAAAUCUUUCCUGCAGAUGUGAAGGACUCUGCUGCGUAUUACUGUGCACUGCAGCCCACAGUGGCAGGAAACGCAUGAACACCAUACAAAAACCUACUCAGAGCUCAACAGAGAACAAAUGGUUAAGAUCAACCUAUGAGACCAGAGUGUGCACAAUUGCCACAAGGUGGCAGCACUUUUUUAUGACGCUUAACAUCAUAAGCAUGUGUACAAAGUUGACAUGUGACAAGUAUUAGGAUGUGACUUUAAAAGAUUGUGAACAGUAUACACAGCCGAUCAGUAAAUUCAGGAUGAA